AGUCAAUGUGUCAAUAGCUGUCAAAUGGAUGCUUACUUGUUUUCAUUCAACACAAAAUACUCUGAGAAAUGGAAGUGAACAAUUCAAACUUGUGUCGGCUGUGUUUUGAUGAAGGAAUUAUCAAUAUUUUCAAUGAAAAUGGACAAGAUUUUAUCAAAAUAAUUCGGCAACAUCUCGGCUGCGAAGUUCAUGAAAAUGAUAUGCUUCCAAAGUGUGUAUGCUCGGUUUGCUGGAAUCAAGUGAGAAGCUUUCAUAGCUUCUAUAAAUUCGUCAAAAAGAAACAGAAUGCGUUUCUAUCGAAAUUAAAACCAGAAACGUCCAUGCGACUCGCAUUGAACUCCGUACAUGCACGAGAACAAUCUUCAUCAAAUGUGAUCACAGAGCUGAGUGCAUCCGAUCCAGUUUUUGGCGAGGUUGUUGCGAUAAAAACAGAACCUGUUGAAUCUCUCCUAACUGAAACAGAAAAUGUAUUAGCAGACAAAGUGUACGAAGAAAUGGGCCAAAUUUGUGAAACACAAGUCAAAAGGAAAGUUGGAAGACCAAGAAAAGUUCAGAAGAAAAGUGACUAUGAAUAUAAAGUGGAUAAAAUGUCGAAUGAAUUUGAAUCAGACGAUAGUUGCAUGACGGGCGGUAAAAGAAAAAGAGGAAGACCGAAAAAAAGCAAAAUCGAUGACGAUCAGGAAUUGUCAAAAAUAAAGAACAAAAGGCCAAGAGGUGAACAAUCUAAAUCGCUCUCAAUAUAUACCUUGGGCAAAGAUUAUGAAGCUUUUAUGCUGGAAAACUUCAAUAUGUCGUGUGAAUUGUGUUCAGCAAAGGAUUUCAAGUGUUUUUUCGAUGUCAAAACUCAUUAUUCGGAUGAGCAUCAAAGCAAUGGAUAUGUUAAGUGCUGUGACAAAAAGUUUAUCUACAUAAGUCAGGUGGUCGAUCACAUCGAUUACCAUUUGAAUCCGGAUGUUCUCAAGUGUAAACUAUGCGGCCAUCGAAAUAAAUCCAAAGCGCUUCUCCGAAAACACAUGAGACUGGCGCAUGAACAGAAACAUCGAUUUAAAUGUGACAUCUGCGGGAACACAUUCAAUAGAAAACCGCACAUGAAGAUGCACAUACUUCGAUUGCACGUUCCAAAGAAUCCCAACAUCAAAUGUGAACAAUGUGACCAAACAUUUUCCUCAAUAGAAAUAUUGAAGACUCAUCAAAUUGUAGUGCACGAGAAACAGUACAAUAAAAAACGGGUUCAAUGCGAAAUUUGUGGGAAGUCAAUCAAUUUUUCUCGCGUUGAAAAUCAUCGUAUCUCGCAUUUGGAUAAAGAAGAACGUUGGAAGAAUCGUGCUCAGUGUGAUAUUUGCGGGGAAUGGUUUACAUCUGCGAGCACGCUGAAGAUCCACAAGUUUACUCAUGAUGCGUCACAAGAAGAGUGUGGAAUAUGUCAUAAGAUGUUUGGGCAUAAAGCCAAUUUAAACGAACAUAUCCGGAGAAUGCAUCGCGAACGAGAAUUUAAAUGCAAAUUGUGCCCUAGUGCGUUUAUAAGACAACACCAGUUGAAUCUGCAUAUGGAGAGUCACACGAAAGUCAGGCAAUACCCAUGCCUAUUCUGCCCGAAAAUAUUUUACGUUCAAAAGUCAAUGCACAUUCACUACAGUCGUCAUCAUCGCGCUGAAUUCGAAGAAGUGAAACGGAAGAGAAGAAUCGAAUACAUUGGUGGACCUUAAUUUAUAUGAAAAAUACCUUUCCUAUGUUGAACUGAAGCGCUUCAUUUGACUGAUGCUUAUUUUUUUACGACAUUUUAUGAAACAUUUAAUAAAUUGAUUUUGUAUUUUAUAAUUGAAACGAUAAGAUGUUCAUACUUUCAUAAAUUUUCAUCAUUUGAAGCCGAUAAUAUGUUCCACUGACAGUUGUGUCAAGUACGCAGCCAUUUUGGCAGAGCUGUCAAACGAUUUCGGUUUGAAUCUGACAUAUACCUUUUAACGAUGAUUUUCAUAUAAACAAAAGUGUGAUUCGGAAAAUUUCAUUAAAAAUUCCGCAUUGAAUUGGGAAUUUCGCUAGAGAAAAAAAUGAAUGCAAACACCCGAAAAAUCAUAAGUAAGGAGACGCAGGAGGCGGUUAAACGUUUUCUCACAUCAAAUAUUUCAAUACGUAAUGCAUCACCUCAGACGCCAAACAUUAUGGACCAGCAUUUUUCCCGAAUUCUUCAAAAGAAACGAGAGGAACAAUUGGAAGCGUCGAGACAAAGACUGUUUGACAGCAGAAAUGAGUCUGCAUUUGGAAAAAAUGGUUCCAUGCCGGUUGAAAAAGAUAUUACUCUCGAUAACAGCAUGAUAUUCUUCGGAAGAGUAAAUAAAUCAUGGCGCGAUGUAUCUGGCGAAGAUAGUUUCUUGGCCAUGGAACGUCAAUGUAAUAUGGAAGACAAAACCGAGCGUAUAAUUAAUGCCAACGAUACUUUGCUAUUUGACAUCGAACCACCUGCUGAACUCUGGAAUCAAACCGUUAACCAAAGCGACACUGUCGAGGGUUUGGAUAAAUCAAAAGACAAAAACGAUUAUAAAGACGAAUAUGACGAAGAGAAAGAUGAUGGAGAUGAAACAAUUGAAAUUUCUCCGGUGAAGUACAUUGGCCUGAUCCGUCCGUCCACAAUCAUCGAAGAAACGUCGUCACAGCUUGAUUCAUACAACAAGAAUGGCAGUACAUUGUUGUCGACAAAGUCGUCAUUGUAUGAAACGGCGUCAAUAAACGAAUCAGUGAAUGGCAACAGUUCAAAAUCAAUCGAUGAUUUAUCAGUGGAUGGUAAAAGUUCCGCAACUGAUGUUGUCCAACUGAUCAAAAAUGAUGGGAUUGAAAGUGAUUCGAAAAAGGAAAAUGGAAGUAAUGCGAAUCAUGAAGAUGCUAUCGCCUCACCAUUUGAUAAGCAAUGUGCUGAACGUCAACGCCGAGGCACCUUUGCGUUUAAACGCGACAAUUAUACAUUUUUUCCCGACCAAAACUUGGAACCAAUCGAUGAAAGUGGUGCAAACAGAAGCUUAAUCGACUUUGGAGCCAAGUCAAAGGAUGACAAUAGUAUUGAAAAUGAAGAUCAAUUCAAUAAUACACUCGAACGUGUGGACUACCUUUUGGAAAGAGGUAAACAGAUAUGGGAAGAGACACCAAUUGCAAAACGAAGCACUCAUCACCAAAGUCUCAUGGAAACACCGCUGUUUUCGUGCAAGCGAAAGAGACUGCUCAACGAAAUGGCCUCCAUUGAAAUGCUUCCAUUGGCCAAACGAGGUCCCCUGAUUGACUGUUCAACGCCAGAAAUAUUGCAUAAAAUGCGAUUCAACAAAUUUUCUGGCAAAUGACACACAGUUGGUUGCCAAUAGGAGGCAAUACUCAUUAUGACACAUUCCUUUCCAUACAUGCCUGCAUGAUAAAUUGCAAUUAAAUUAAUAUAGGUGUUAGUAAAAUAUAUUUACAAAAUAUAUUAUUAUUAUUUCCAUCACAAAGUGAUUAAAAUAUCCGUUCAAUUAACUUGUGAAAGAGUUUAAAAUUUUUAUUUUUACUCAUUUUCGUUUGUAAUUAUACAUUUAAUCUAAAUUUAAUCUGUUUACUAUGCAAUAUCAUUUUCAUAUCAAUAAAUAUAUCAUUUUUGGUACACCAA